rnacentral:rRNA from 1 species
GAUGAACGCUGGCGGCGUGCUUAACACAUGCAAGUCGAACGGAAAGGCCCAAGCUUGCUUGGGUACUCGAGUGGCGAACGGGUGAGUAACACGUGGGUGAUCUGCCCUGCACUUCGGGAUAAGCCUGGGAAACUGGGUCUAAUACCGGAUAGGACACCUCCUUGGAUGUUGUGGUGGAAAGUUUUUUGGGUGUGGGAUGAGCUCGCGGCCUAUCAGCUUGUUGGUGUGGUAAUGGCCUACCAAGGCGUCGGCGGGUAGCCGGCCUGAGAGGGUGUACGGCCACAUUGGGACUGAGAGACGGCCCAGACUCCUACGGGAGGCAGCAGUGGGGAAUAUUGCACAAUGGGCGCAAGCCUGAUGCAGCGACGCCGCGUGGGGGAUGACGGCCUUCGGGUUGUAAACUCCUUUCGCUAGGGACGAAGCGUUUUGUGACGGUACCUGGAGAAGAAGCACCGGCUAACUACGUG